AUUGAACGCUGGCGGCAGGCCUAACACAUGCAAGUCGAGCGGAGCGGCGAACGGGUGAGUAACGCGUGAGUAACUGCCCCCCUCUCUGGGAUAACAGUUGGAAACGGCUGCUAAUACCGGAUAGUGGGGGAUGACUCGCGUCCUAUCAGCUUGUUGGUGGGGUAGUGGCCUACCAAGGCGACGACGGGUAGCCGGCCUGAGAGGGCGACCGGCCACAGUGGGCUGGGAUAGGGCCCAAACUCCGACGGGGGGCAGCAGUGGGGAAUAUGGCACAAGGGGGGAAGCCCUGAUGCAGCAGCGCCGCGGGCGGGAUGACGGGCGUCGGGUUGGAAUCCGCUUUCAGCCAUGACGCGGUAGUGGCAGAAGAAGCACCGGCUAACUACGUGCCAGCCGCCGCGGUAAUUC
rnacentral:rRNA from 1 species